rnacentral:sRNA from 1 species
CAGACUCAGCAAAACUCCCUCCCCGGGC